AGAGUUUGAUCAUGGCUCAGAUUGAACGCUGGCGGCAUGCUUUACACAUGCAAGUCGAGCGGCAGCGCGGGGGCAACCCUGGCGGCGAGCGGCGAACGGGUGAGGAAUACAUCGGAACGUACCCCGGAGUGGGGGAUAACUCGGCGAAAGCCGUGCUAAUACCGCAUAUGCUCUGAGGAGGAAAGUGGGGGACCUGUGAGGGCCUCACGCUCUGGGAGCGGCCGAUGUCCGAUUAGCUAGUUGGUGGGGUAAUGGCCUACCAAGGCGACGAUCGGUAGCUGGUCUGAGAGGAUGAUCAGCCACACUGGGACUGAGACACGGCUCAGACUCCUACGGGAGGCAGCAGUGGGGAAUUUUGGACAAUGGGGGCAACCCUGAUCCAGCCAUGCCGCGUGCGGGAAGAAGGCCUUCGGGUUGUAAACCGCUUUUGGUCGGGAAGAAAAGGCGCCGGAUAAUACCUGGCGUUCUUGACGGUACCGGCAGAAUAAGCACCGGCUAACUACGUGCCAGCAGCCGCGGUAAUACGUAGGGUGCGAGCGUUAAUCGGAAUUACUGGGCGUAAAGCGUGCGCAGGCGGUUUGUUAAGUCUGAUGUGAAAGCCCCGGGCUCAACCUGGGAAUGGCAUUGGAAACUGGCAAGCUCGAGUAUGGCAGAGGGGGGUGGAAUUCCGCGUGUAGCAGUGAAAUGCGUAGAGAUGCGGAGGAACACCGAUGGCGAAGGCAGCCCCCUGGGCCAAUACUGACGCUCAGGCACGAAAGCGUGGGGAGCAAACAGGAUUAGAUACCCUAGUAGUCC
rnacentral:rRNA from 1 species